rnacentral:hammerhead_ribozyme from 1 species
AUCCAGCUGAUGAGUCCAAAAUAGGACGAAAUGCGCUUCCUGGAU